GUGUUGGAAUACCAUUUCCCAUACGAUCACCAAAAUUAAACUUUGUUGAGCCUGGUCAGUACAUACAUGGGUGACUGCUUGGGAAUACCACAUGCUGUAAG